rnacentral:sRNA from 1 species
GAUCUUGAAGACCUCACCACGACCGUGAUACGACCUUAAUGCGAUCUACACGACCGCACUACGAUCAUCAAAAUUUGCAUUUUUUUCACAGAUCGUAGUGCGAUCGUGGCCUAGUGGGACUGGGGUAUUACAAAACAUAUACACCACGCCUUAUACCACAGUCCCACAAGCCACGAUAAAAAAAAAAUGCAAAUUUUGAUGAUCGUAGAACGAUCGUGUAGAUCGCAGUAAGGUCGUAUCACGGUCGUGGUGAGGUCUUCAAGAUCG